rnacentral:rRNA from 1 species
GAUGAACGCUGGCGGCGUGCUUAACACAUGCAAGUCGAACGGUGAAGCAGAGCUUGCUCUGUGGAUCAGUGGCGAACGGGUGAGUAACACGUGAGCAACCUGCCCCUGACUCUGGGAUAAGCGCUGGAAACGGCGUCUAAUACUGGAUAUGAGCUGCGACCGCAUGGUCAGCAGUUGGAAAGAUUUUUCGGUCUGGGAUGGGCUCACGGCCUAUCAGCUUGUUGGUGAGGUAAUGGCUCACCAAGGCGUCGACGGGUAGCCGGCCUGAGAGGGUGACCGGCCACACUGGGACUGAGACACGGCCCAGACUCCUACGGGAGGCAGCAGUGGGGAAUAUUGCACAAUGGGCGAAAGCCUGAUGCAGCAACGCCGCGUGAGGGAUGACGGCCUUCGGGUUGUAAACCUCUUUUAGCAGGGAAGAAGCGAAAGUGACGGUACCUGCGGAAAAAGCGCCGGCUAACUACGUG